rnacentral:rRNA from 1 species
AACGAACGCUGGCGGCGCGCCUAAUACAUGCAAGUCGAGCGAGAAGACGUAGCAAUACGUUUGUAAAGCGGCGAACGGGUGAGGAAUACAUGGGUAACCUACCCUCGAGUGGGGAAUAACUAGCCGAAAGGUUAGCUAAUACCGCGUACGCUCCUUGGACUUCGGUUCAGGGAGGAAAGCGAUACCGUGGGUAUCGCGCUCUUGGAUGGGCUCAUGUCCUAUCAGCUUGUUGGUGAGGAACGGCUCACCAAGGCUUCGACGGGUAGCUGGUCUGAGAGGACGAUCAGCCACACUGGCACUGCGACACGGGCCAGACUCCUACGGGAGGCAGCAGUAAGGAAUAUUGCGCAAUGGGCGAAAGCCCGACGCAGCGACGCCGCGUGGGGGAUGAAGGUCUUCGGAUUGUAAACCCCUUUCGGGAGGGAAGAUGGAACGAGCAAUCGUUCGGACGGUACCUCCAGAAGCAGCCACGGCUAACUUCGUGCCAGCCG